rnacentral:rRNA from 1 species
GGAUUAACGCUAGCGGAAGGCAUAAUACAUGCAAGUCGAACGGGAUAGAACUUAGCAAUAGGUUCUUGAGAGUGGCGCACGGGUGCGUAACACGUAUGCAACCUACCUUUAACUGGGGGAUAGCCUCUCGAAAGAGAGAUUAAUACCCCAUAAUAUAACUGAUGAGCAUUUUUUGGUUAUUAAAGAUUUAUCGGUUAAAGAUGGGCAUGCGGCUGAUUAGGUAGUUGGUGAGGUAACGGCUCACCAAGCCAACGAUCAGUAGGGGGUCUGAGAGGAUGAUCAGCCACACUGGGACUGAGACACGGCCCAGACUCCUACGGGAGGCAGCAGUGGGGAAUAUUGGACAAUGGGGGAAACCCUGAUCCAGCAAUGCCGCGUGAGUGAUGAAGGCCUUAGGGUCGUAAAGCUCUUUUACCAGGGAUGAUAAUGACAGUACCUGGAGAAUAAGCUCCGGCUAACUCCGUG